rnacentral:lncRNA from 1 species
UUUUCUUGUCUUUAAAAUACUAUAAUGUUUUAUUCAAAAUCGAUACACAAAAUCAUUAAUCAAACAUUUUAAUAAAAUACCAAUGCGUGAAUAAAAUCUAUUUUGAGAAAAUCAUUAAAUUAGAACAUUUAAAACACUUAUUUCGCAAACAUACUUUACUUUCAUAAUUAACUAUGAAAAUAUGUUUUAUAUAUUCCACUCACAGUGACGGUGUUCACGCUCGGUUAUUGUCCACGUCUGCGGAUCAGUACUCGCUCGCGGACCCCCCUAAAUCAAGAAAACGAAAUAAUUAUUUUUCGUAAAUUGAAAUUAGGACUAAAUUUAUGCAAUAAACUCGAAACGAAUAUCUAUCCAUAAUUUACAACUCCUGUAUCGAUAGAAUUACCAAAAUACCCUCGAAUCUGUAAAUCGUUAAAAUACUUCAAAAUCGUAAGUCACCGAAUUACUCUUGGAAUCAUAAUUAUACUCCACUCCUCAAUUUUAGGAAUUAUUAAAAUAUUCAUAGGCUCAUAAACUAUAAAAUUGCCCUCAAAGAGUGAAAUUACCGAAAUGCCCUUGCCGGUCAACGGUCACCGGAAUUUAGUCAACGCUGGCCAAGAAGCUCAAGUCUGAAAGUUCCAAUCACGCUGAAUCUAAUAGUGCCGCAACGACGCCGGAAUCUAGCUCGGCAGCCGUGAAUUUCCAACAAUUGGCCGGCGGAGAAACAGUGACUCCCGGUGACUGUGGAUGGUUGGGAAUUGAAGAGGGAGUCGUCGGGAACAAAACUGAGGUGGUGACGUGGUCAAAUUCCGGUGGAAUCAACGGCGGUGGUGAUGGGUUUCGGCUCAAGCCUUAAACGGCGGUGUUCCGGUCAAUUUUCGGCGAAGAUGACAGCUGCAAUAUGACCAACGUCUCACGGGCUUUCGAUUGAUACCUUGAUCAACCGGAGGGGUGGCCGGAAAUUGGAGACAUGGCCGGGUCACGUUCGCGGGUCGGGUCGGGUUUUGGGUCUGUUUUUGGUCGCUUCUCCCCUUCACACGUGUGCCUCUGUUUUCC